GCGCCGGUGGUCUAAUGGUCAAGGCAGGUCCCGCUUCUCCACCAAUUCAACAAAUUGAACCGGUGAGGGAUCAGGGACUAGAUCCGGGUUCGAAUCCCGGCGGGCGCA